rnacentral:tRNA from 1 species
AGCGGGGUAGGGCUUUUGCAGCCUUAGCUGACUGCAGACCUAAGAGUCAGGAGUGCCCGGGGGGCUCAUAACCCCCAGGUCGGAAGUUCAAAUCUUCUCCCCGCUA